AUAGCAUAAGCUAAGAGAGACGACCCUGUCACGAUGACCCUUGAAAUACCGCAAGUACUUGUUGUCAUGCAAUGAAAGAAGUCGUAGAGAUUCAUCCCAACCAUUCUUGGAGGAGUAUAUUACAGUCGUUGGAUGAGAAGUGAAGCUAACCAGAUCGACCCCGUACUUUUUGCUAUUAAUAGUUUUCAAACACGUUGCAUUUGCAACAUCAUAUAGACGUA
rnacentral:misc_RNA from 1 species